rnacentral:rRNA from 1 species
UAAUACGUAGGGUGCAAGCGUUAAUCGGAAUUACUGGGCGUAAAGCGUGCGCAGGCGGUUCGGAAAGAAAGAUGUGAAAUCCCAGAGCUUAACUUUGGAACUGCAUUUUUAACUACCGGGCUAGAGUGUGUCAGAGGGAGGUGGAAUUCCGCGUGUAGCAGUGAAAUGCGUAGAGAUGCGGAGGAACACCGAUGGCGAAGGCAGCCUCCUGGGAUAACACUGACGCUCAUGCACGAAAGCGUGGGGAGCAAACAGGAUUAGAUACCCUGGUAGUCCACGCCCUAAACGAUGUCAACUAGCUGUUGGGGCCUUCGGGCCUUGGUAGCGCAGCUAACGCGUGAAGUUGACCGCCUGGGGAGUACGGUCGCAAGAUUAAA